UACGAAGGGGGCUAGCGUUGCUCGGAAUCACUGGGCGUAAAGGGUGCGUAGGCGGGUCUUUAAGUCAGGGGUGAAAUCCUGGAGCUCAACUCCAGAACUGCCUUUGAUACUGAGGAUCUUGAGUUCGGGAGAGGUGAGUGGAACUGCGAGUGCAGAGGUGAAAUUCGUAGAUAUUCGCAAGAACACCAGUGGCGAAGGCGGCUCACUGGCCCGAUACUGACGCUGAUGCACGAAAGCGUGGGGAGCAAACAGG
rnacentral:rRNA from 1 species